UGGACACACUGGAGAAGGAGCUGAGAGCGCGGGAGCAGUACUGGCGCUGCCAGGAGCAGGAAGAGGUUCGGCUGGCGGAACAGCUGGGCGCCAUGAGCCGGGGGCUGCUCUCCACGCCCGGCGAAAACCCGGGGCUGCAGCUGAGGGCCGCUGAGGAGGCCUGCGCAGCCCUGGAGGCCCGCUGCCUGCAGGAGACCCAGAGGAGAGCCGGAGCCCUGAGCUGCCAGAGCAGCCAGAGAGAGUGGGACCUGCUCGCUCAAGCAGACAGAGAGGAGUGGGAGCAGGAGGCGCAGGUGAUGCUGGGCCUGCAGCGAGUCCUGCAGAGUUUAGGGCAGGCGGCCGAAAAGCUCAGGCAAGCGGCAGGCCGGCUGUGGGCCCAGGAGGAGGAAAUGCGGCUACAGUGCGGCAGGGAUCAAAGCCCACAGGUCUGGAGCCGCUCCAGGAAGGUGAGACUCAGAGGCUGACCAGGGGAUCGCGUGAGACAGCACGUUCACCUGUGACAUCAGAUGUGGCUCUU
rnacentral:lncRNA from 1 species